GCGCAGGAAAAGAAACCAACAGGGAUUGCCCCAGUAACGGCGAGUGAAGCGGCAACAGCUCAAAUUUGAAAUCUGGCUUCGGCCCGAGUUGUAAUUUGCAGAGGAAGCUUUAGGCGCGGCACCAUCUGAGUCCCCUGGAACGGGGCGCCAAAGAGGGUGAGAGCCCCGUAUAGAUGGACGCCUAGCCUGUGUAAAGCUCCUUCGACGAGUCGAGUAGUUUGGGAAUGCUGCUCAAAAUGGGAGGUAAAUUUCUUCUAAAGCUAAAUAUUGGCCAGAGACCGAUAGCGCACAAGUAGAGUGAUCGAAAGAUGAAAAGCACUUUGAAAAGAGGGUUAAAUAGCACGUGAAAUUGUUGAAAGGGAAGCGCUUGUGACCAGACUUGCGCCGGGCGGAUCAUCCGGUGUUCUCACCGGUGCACUCCGCCCGGCUCAGGCCAGCAUCGGUUCUCGUGGGGGGAUAAAGGCACCGGGAACGUAGCUCCUCCGGGAGUGUUAUAGCCCGGGGCGUAAUGCCCUCGCGGGGACCGAGGACCGCGCUUCUGCAAGGAUGCUGGCGUAAUGGUCAUCAGCGACCCGUCUUGAAACACGGACCAAGGAGUCAAGGUUUUGCGCGAGUGUUUGGGUGUAAAACCCGCACGCGUAAUGAAAGUGAACGUAGGUGAGAGCUUCGGCGCAUCAUCGACCGAUCCUGAUGUUCUCGGAUGGAUUUGA
rnacentral:rRNA from 1 species